AAAUAGUGUUUUCACAAUACUGCCGUGCAAAGGCAAAAGACCGUAACUUCGAUUUUUGUCGAAAAUUAGUUAUUGAUAUUUUUGGGAC